GCCUGUAUAGCUCAGUUGGUUAGAGUGUGGUGCUAAUAUCACCAUGGUUGCAGGUUCAAUCCCCAUAUGAGACA